AAAAAGACAAACCCUGGUUUCCGUGCCCAAUGUUUGACCGUUCGUCUUAUUUGAAAAAAUUAUGAAAAAAAUUAAAAAGACAAGUCACGCACAAAGUAUUAAUCAUGUUUUAUCAUCUAACAAUAAUAAAAAUAAUAAUUAUAAAAAAAUUUCAUAUAAGACGGACAGUCAAAGUUGGACACGCAAACCUAGGGUUUGCCUUUUU
rnacentral:pre_miRNA from 1 species